ACUCAAAUGAAUUGACGGGGACCCGCACAAGCGGUGGAGCAUGUGGUUCAAUUCGAUGCAACGCGAAGAACCUUACCUGGCCUUGACAUGUCUGGAAGACCGUAGAGAUAUGGUUGUGCCCGAAAGGGAACCAGAACACAGGUGCUGCAUGGCUGUCGUCAGCUCGUGUCGUGAGAUGUUGGGUUAAGUCCCGCAACGAGCGCAACCCUUGUCCUUAGUUGCCAGCACUUCGGGUGGGCACUCUAAGGAGACCGCCGGUGACAAACCGGAGGAAGGUGGGGAUGACGUCAAGUCAUCAUGGCCUUUAUGGCCAGGGCUACACACGUGCUACAAUGGCCGGUACAAAGGGUUGCCAACUCGCAAGAGGGAGCCAAUCCCAUAAAGCCGGUCGUAGUCCGGAUCGGAGUCUGCAACUCGACUCCGUGAAGUCGGAAUCGCUAGUAAUCGCAGAUCAGCAUUGCUGCGGUGAAUACGUUCCCGGGUCUUGUACACACCGCCCGU
rnacentral:rRNA from 1 species